GAUGAAGAACGCAGCGAAAUGCGAUAAAUAAUGUGAAUUGCAGAAUUCAGUGAAUCAUCGAAUCUUUGAACGCACAUUGCGCCCGCCAGUAUUCUGGCGGGCAUGCCUGUCCGAGCGUCAUUUCAACCCUCGAACCCCUCCGGGGGGUCGGCGUUGGGGAUCGGCCCUGCCUCUUGGCGGUGGCCGUCUCCGAAAUACAGUGGCGGUCUCGCCGCAGCCUCUCCUGCGCAGUAGUUUGCACACUCGCAUCGGGAGCGCGGCGCGGUCCACUGCCGUAAAACCCCCCAACUUUUUAUAGUUGACCUCGAAUCAGGUAGGACUACCCGCUGAACUUAAGCAUAUCAUAAGCGGAGGA
rnacentral:misc_RNA from 1 species